UCCUAAUGAGUUGGUGUCUUGCAUAGCUUUUUGCACAUGAUGCUUUUAACAUUACUCAUCUUAUU
rnacentral:sRNA from 1 species